UACGUAGGUGACAAGCGUUGUCCGGAUUUACUGGGCGUAAAGGGAGCGUAGGCGGACUUUUAAGUGAGAUGUGAAAUACCCGGGCUCAACUUGGGUGCUGCAUUUCAAACUGGAAGUCUAGAGUGCAGGAGAGGAGAAUGGAAUUCCUAGUGUAGCGGUGAAAUGCGUAGAGAUUAGGAAGAACACCAGUGGCGAAGGCGAUUCUCUGGACUGUAACUGACGCUGAGGCUCGAAAGCGUGGGGAGGCAAACAGGAUUAGAUACCCCGUACGU
rnacentral:rRNA from 1 species